GUAGUAGUGUGUUUCUCGUGUCAUCAGCCUCACUCAUUGUGUCUCCCUGCUUGUUAUUGGAUUUUGUAUGUUGGAUUUCUGUUGGACAACCUUUGUUUUUGGACUCUGUCAUCAGCCACUCAGUUUGCAAACAGUCUUGUUUACGAUCAAACAUUUGAGGUCUGGAGGGUCAUGAUCUAGGUCGAGGACUGUAGAAGAGACACCAGGUCAUUGUUGUGUCAUAAUAACUUCAACUUGUACGACGAGAGACUGAAGGAAAGUCUCAACAGGACGAGAAAAAGGAUUAUCAUCUGUGCCCUCGGUAGCACAGAGGAUGAGACAGCAUCCCUCUUCUGCUUUUGAAUUGCAUUGUAAGUGUGUAUUUGUGUGUAAUCAUGCGCUUGUGUGUCUAUAUUUGCAUUUGAGAAUGAAUAUGUCUGCAUGCUUCCAUGUAAGUAAAAUCAUUGGUCCUCG